GUGCACUUUGGUAGCACAUAUACCAAAAUUGCAAUGAUAGAAAGAUUAGCAUGGACCCUGCACAAGGAUGACACCCAAAUUUGUGAAGUGUUUGUAUAUAUU
rnacentral:snRNA from 1 species